rnacentral:rRNA from 1 species
UACGGGGGGGGCAAGCGUUGUUCGGAAUUACUGGGCGUAAAGGGCGCGUAGGCGGGUGUCCAAGUCAGGGGUGAAAUCCUCCAGCUUAACUGGAGAACUGCCUGUGAUACUGGACGUCUGGAGUGAGGUAGGGGCAUGUGGAACUUCCGGUGGAGCGGUGAAAUGCGUAGAUAUCGUAAGGAAGACCAGUGGCGAAGGCGGCUCACUGGCCCGAUACUGACGCUGAGGCACGAAAGCGUGGGGAGCAAACAGG